AUAUCAACCUCCGGCAAAUUGAGCUGACAGCGUCCUCGAAUCCUGAGAGGAAGGCUACCGCAAGCAGAGACGCCACAGGAAGGCUUUGAAAAUAAACUGGACAUCUUCAGACAGAAUGACCGAAUACUAAAAGAAGGGCCCUCUACAGUCAGCGACAUGUCGAGUCUUCCCCUCUGAGCCAAUUAAACAUCACGGCUCCAUCAUGACCUCAAAACAGGAACUUCGAGCUGAGACAGCUUAUCCUCACGAGGGUGACAGGGAGUGCUGGAGCCUAUCCUAGCUGUCAACGGCCAGGAGGUGGCAAUCGCAGGGCACAUGGAGACAAAGAGUUGCACUCACAAUCACACCAAGGGAUUUGCGAGUUUGGACCCUCCGUGUGUUCACGAGUCGAGGAAGACCAAUGAUUAGAAAAAGUUAACACCAAAUGGAUUUAUUACAAAGGAAUGUGGAG